rnacentral:snRNA from 1 species
AUACUCUAGAUUCUCUUCAGAUCACAUAAUCUUUCAUCUUUUUCUAAAGAUUUCCAUGGAAAGGGACAAUUCUGAGUCUUAACCAAAUUUGUUGAGGCCUUGUCUCGGCAAGUCU